rnacentral:misc_RNA from 1 species
AAUUCAUUUAAUGACAUGGAGAAGGAAGGCCCUCCUCCGGAGUACUCGCCUUCAUGCAGCAAUAAUGGCGGACAUCCAAAUGAUGUUUAUGGGGAUGGAGUAGUGACUGCGGACAUCGUUCAGGAACACAAUCCACCCCCGGCGUACGAUGACAUAUUCGUUAGAACUGUGUCACCUGUCAGGCGAGAAAGAUCUUGCGGAGAACCUUACUACAGGGAUGACAGGAAUCUGUGGGAAAAACUCCACGACUGGUUUGAGAUGUCCAUUCUCCAGCAGAUUAUAUGGCUUCUUGUAUUAGCCUUUUCCUUAUCCUACAUUGCUUAUGGUUUAAAAUAUAGUGGAUCCUGCAGCGUAAAGAAAUACAACAAAAAAGGGAAAAUGAUUGACAACAAUGACAUAACUGGAUUGAUGCAGGCUGAAGGAGGCGUCCUCUGUGCCACCGUUCUAUUCGUGUUAAUGGUUCGAUUGCUCAUACUGAGGGAUAAUCGCCGUACUCAACGAAAGUUGAAAAUUGAUUUAGAAGGACAGAAAAAAUGUGGCGGUUAUCUAUUUUUCAUUGGAAUGGGUUUAUACAUUGCCAAUUUCGGGCUAUGUAUAGGAGGUGGGCAAAUCAUAUCACACAAUAUCCUCUGGGUGAUACUCAAUGAUUAAAAGUCUUGUUAUAUAUGGAUCAAUUAAUGUUUAUGUAUCCCGCAAAGUGUUAACACGUACAUGUAUAGUCCAAUUAGUUUAUUUACUUUAACAGGAGCGACAAACAUCAUGAAUUUAUACACGCAAGAAACCAACACAACAGUGCGCUGUGACUCAGAGUUUUAUGAUUUCUACUACCAUGCCAAGAUAGGGGAGCUUGUUGUGUUAAUGCCGUACGCCGCCUAUAUCAUAUUUUCUCUGGUUUUCAUGAUGUCCAUUCAAAAGCAAUGGUUUAUCAGACGCAAGCUACGACGCUGGGCUAAACUUCUGGAUGCUGACCAAGAUGGCGUCAUCAGCCAAGACGACAUGAUGAAAACGAAUGAGAAGUUGGAACGGCUUCGUAAACUUGUUGGUGCAAGACAAAUGGCCUUAUCCGCCUCUAAGCAGAAGAAGUGGUGGGACGAUAAUGUAUUCAAGCGAGGACCCGGGAAAGACAUUCACGUUGAAGAAUACGUCACUUUCAUGGAAGGAACGUUGGGAACUGGACCUCCGCAUGAUAGGGCUAACAAAAUCAGACCAGUUGUCAAAAAAUGGUUUGACUUCUUCACGACUGAAGAAUACAUGAAAAAAAAGUUGAUUUUGGGAGAAGAAGAUUUCGUGAAAUUUUGGACUAUCCUAGAUAAGGGCGAUGACGAGAGCCACUACAAAAGAAUGUAUAUCAAACAUUUCCCCUCACCAUUAUCCAUGGGUGAUAUCAUGGAGGACUUUGUUGCAUUUUUGUCACAUCCUGAUUUCUUUGAUGAAUACAGCAACAGGGUGUUUAAUGUAGUGAAGCAUCGACCAGAGGGCACGUGUUGUAAAUUAUAAUUCGUCAAACUUUGACAAAAUACCUCUGUUUAAGAUAUCAUGUAAAAGAUAUUGAUAAUUUUGAAAAUUCUCAAAAUUGGAAUUAUUGCAGAGAUUAUUGUGUCGGGGUUCCUUAAGAACAAUAAUUUAUGUGUUGUUUGUUUGUUUUUGAUUCCAUUGUUGUUGAUUAGUCAUUAAAGUCGGCAACCACAUGGAAACAUAUGGAUAAAAAUAUCUUAAUAUGUUCAUAAAUUCCAUAACCAGUUCAUGUUAUAUCCAGUUUUCUGUAAUAUCCACAAUUGUAAAAUUGUUGAAUAUUUGUAAAUGUAUGUGGAUAAAGAUAUUUCGGUGUUUAUACUGAACAAUUUGUUUUUUAAAAAUCACAAAUACUUUUUUGCAAAGAAUUUUAAUUCAUGUUUUAAACAUUUGACCCAACAUGUGUUGAUCAGUUUGUAAAGUCUGUAAUGAUAUGGGACUUAUAUUGUAACAUACAUUUUAUAUUGUUUCGGAAAUGAAUGUAUUUACAGUGUAUUGUUGAGUGUUCUGUAGUUUUGUGCAAUCACAUGUUUGGUGAUUCUAUCAUUUCAAAUGUAAAUGAGAUUUGUUGUGUUGUACUGAUAACAAUUUUAAAAAUUUAAAUGAUGAACUAAUUGAUUAUUAGUUAUUACUAUAAUAUGCAUUAUAAAAUAUGAUCUUUUUUGAGAUGGUUUUCAACAUUUUCAUUUCCAAACUGUGUAUGUUUAUUGUAGCACAAUAUUUGACCAUUACAUGUUUGUAUGAAUACCUGAAAAUAAAGAAAGCUAUUUUAAAAUCUU